rnacentral:tRNA from 1 species
CCUUCGUUUCUCUUUCUUUCAUUGGUGGAUUGCCCCACCGGGCCCGAUUCGCAGCGGGACGCUGCUGGCCCUGCGCAGGGCGCGGCCCCACCCUUUUGAUAAACUCAGGAGGGCCGACGGCCGGUCGGCCUUGCGAAGCUUUGCUUCGGGGGUGGACUUCUGGAUCGCGUAGCAGCGUUUGCGUCGGUAUCUGGGCUUGUAGCUCAGUUGGUUAGAGCACACGCUUGAUAAGCGUGGGGUCGGAGGUUCAAGUCCUCCCAGGCCCACCAUGUUACAUGAUAAGGGGCCGUAGCUCAGCUGGGAGAGCACCUGCUUUGCAAGCAGGGGGUCGUCGGUUCGAUCCCGUCCGGCUCCACCAUCGUGUUUUGGUGUAGAGACGGAUAUUGGCAAUCAACGAAAGAAAGAAACAAGUUUGCGGACUUUUAUGAAAGUCUGCCUGUUCUGUAUGAAAUCGUGAAGAGAAGAUGUAAUCGGAUCAACUAUCCAGUUGAUGUCGCAAGAGCUUGCUCAAGCCUUGCAUUAUGAUUGAUGUGUUUAACCGCCAUCAC